AACGCGCAAGGCUCGCGUGUUCCCGAUGGGCUAGGCCCACCUCACCAUGGAUAUGGGCCCAAAACACGAACCCACAACGCCGCGACGUCGCGCAUCUCCUCCUCCUCCUCCCCCAUCCAAAGCGAGCGAGCCGAGGGCUCGAGGGCUCGAGGCCGGCCGCCAUGGCGGCAUCCGCUAUCCGCCAAUCCCAAAUCUCCCCCCCAACUCUCCCCCUUCUACGCCGCACGCGCCAUCCACAUGCCGGCGGAGCUGGCGGCGCGGACCGGCGGAACCUCGUGGCGUUCGGUUUCCGAGUGGCUCUAGUGCACAAACAAAUAUACUGCUGCUGUACCUUUUAUUGAAGUGGCCACAGGAGAGCCAUACAGGAUUGCAAAUAAACCCUCAACUCUAACCUCGUCACCGUCGCUGUGCAUUUAUUGAAGAAGAGUUUGUCGUCGCUAUUGCCGUCGCAGUUGAUUUACCCCUUCUCCCUCCCAAAAUCCAGUGCUCGAUUGAAGGAAGCCUCAACCUUGAAGCGGCAUGGCGAUCACUCGAAGUGAGUGCAGAGCUAGGGUACAUGUGGUUGUACGGCUGGGGAUACACCCAAAGUCAAGAUCGUGCAGGUGGUGGGUUCCGGCGUGGGGUGGGGGGCCGAGCAGCACGUACAGCUAGCUGGCCUGGAAACCGGCUGGCCGCCGGCGGCGGCUGCCGGCCGGGACCGGACGGACGCGGACCACGGUACUUGUUCGAUCUGGACUAUAAUGGCCGCCAGUUUGUCCCCGUGGUACGGAGGCGCUGUGGCUAUAGCGCUGGUUUAAGAGCAAGGUCAAUAAUGCAGCUAACAACAGGCGGUAAAACGGCCCAUGUCAGAUAGUGCAGCUAAUAUUAAAAGCUAGUAUGUACAGCAGUAGGCUGCACUCCAUUUUCCGGUGUUAGUUUUUCAUUUUCUAAUCGUACUUUACUAGAUCAGUCCAUCACGUGAUUAGGUGGUGUUAGGUUGGCCCCACAAAAUGUGUGAAAAGCUGCGCUGUAGCCGGGCGGUAAAAUAAGCGUCGGCUUAUUUCUCUCUCCUGAGUUCUCUCUCCUCUACAUAGGAAUUAAAUGAUGUGGCAUAUUUUGGAGCCUGUCUAGUCAGCUUAUUGUACCUGCUCUAAGGGAGAAAUUACAUGA